rnacentral:rRNA from 1 species
UUUGUUUUUUAAUUAAAAACUAGAAUGAAAGAUUUUACAUUUUAAUUUCUUUAUUAAAUAUAAUUUAUUAAUUUAUACUAAAUAUAAAAAUAUAUUUAUAAAAUAAAAAGACGACAAGACCCUAUUAAAUUUUACUUAUUGUUUAGCUGGGGCAGCUUUUUAAAUAAAACUUUAAAAUUUAUAAAUAUAAUAAUAUAUUUAUAUUAAAAUUAAAAAAUCUAUUAUAAAUAAAUUAAUCUAAUUACUAUAGGGAUAACAGCGUUAUAUUUUUUUCAAGUUCAUAUUUAAAAAAAUCAUUGCGACCUCGAUGUUGAAUUAUAUUUCUUUAUUAAUGCAAUAAUUAUAAAAGUAGGUCU